rnacentral:lncRNA from 1 species
AUGCAUGGUCCCCAUCCAUUCCAAUCUUCAGUAACGUCGCUCUCUGAAACCUUGAGAACGGCCAAGUUUUUUAGACAUAAACCAUUGGCAUGUAGGUUUGAAGGGCAAUGACGCCAAGAGAGCCAUUUUAGCUUUGAGAGAAGAUUUUUAAAGUCUCCUACAAAAUUCCCCCCCUCUAAUUCGAGGAACCUUAAACUAGGCAGCCUUGAUAAUUCGCCACUUGUAAAAUUGUGAGCAUUGGCAGGUUUUGGGAGUUUGAGUGCUACAAUGUUGUAUGUUCCCUGAUAAUUUGAAGCAACAAUACCAAUAUGAAUGAAUGAUUUAGAGUAAAUUCUAACUAUCAUAAUCCUACUAUUCUUACCCCACCAAUUGAUGACAUAAGUGAACCAGCAAAAACGAGGCACAUAUAUCUUAUCUUAUACCAAAAAGGGCAAAUUCCUUGAAUCCUUAUCUCUCCAGCUUAGAUGGGAGUUGUAAUGGUAAGAAUUAUCUAUUUUGGAAUGCUGUUUAUUUCUCUCAAAUUAAGCAAAAUCAUCAAUGUCUUUCCCAGGAACAAAACUGAGCGGAUAUUUGGGUGAAAAUGAACUAUAGUACACAUAACUGCAUGUUUAGUUUUUACGAAAGCAAAUAACUUUUAGUAAGACAUACCAGGUUAUUCUGAACUACAUUUAAGGCAAUCGUAGGACACCACAGCCUACUACGCCUUCCAGGAACUUGAACGCAUUCUUGCCGAACAAUCUCUCUUCCAAGAUCUCUGAGUUGGUCGUGCAUCCAUAAUCUAUCACCCUCGACGAGCUUUAUCAAAGAUAAAUGAACAAGGACACGAAGUCCAGUUUCUGGAAAAAAAUCACUUGCUUUCCACAUGUAGUAUGCCGGGAUUUUUUCUUCACCAAUGCAAUGACAUGCGAUAUCCAGAAAAAUUUGUUGUUGCUCAUACUCUAAUUCUUUGUAACUUAUCAACAAUUUUUUUUGCACAUCCUGAUUGGGCACUUUCUUCAACUUCUUCGAUGUGUCUUUCCAUGUUCUCUUGCUUUUUGAAUGAAGUAAUGCACCUAUAACCUCAAGAGCUAAAGGUAGUCCUCCAAUAAAUUUGACAAUUUCACACGAAAUAUUGUUGUAAUCAUGUGGAGUCGAGUCUCUUUCGAAGGAGUGCUUGCUAAAAAGUUGAAGAGCAUGGUCAAACUGCAUUUCCUUCAUUUCAUAAAAAAAGAAAUCUCCGUAACGCACUGGGAUGAUUUUUUUAUCUAGGGCGUCCGUUUCAGGAGCCAAAAAAUGGGUGUUCCUAGUUGUAAUAAUAAUUCUGCUUCCUGAACCAAACCAACUAGACUUACCAGCUAGUUUCAUGAGCUUGCACCUCUUGUCCAAAUCAUCAAGAACGAUGAUGACUUUCUUAUUAUUGAGUCUUUCAUUAAUCAUGUGCAUCCCCUCAUCAGCAUCAAUAACAUAAGGAUAUCUAAAAUCGAGAAGGUCACAUAAUAAUUUAUUUUGCAGACUUAAAAUACUGUCUGCACGGAUAUCUGAAAGAAAGCAAGAACAUUGAAACUGAGAAGAGAUAUACUUGAAGAUAGCCUUAGAAAGAGUUGUUUUCCCAAUACCACCCAUACCAUGAAUCACCACAAAUCGUACACCGGGAGUGCCUAGGCCUAACAACUCCAUAACGGCCUCCAUCUGAUAGUGAAUUCCCACCAAGUCAUCAUGCCAAUUUCUCUUUGAAUAUCUCAGCUUAUUAAAAACUUCUUCCAGAACAAGUGCUAUAAGUUUAUCCUGGCUGCCAUAUACACAAUGCAACCAACUCAAUUUGAGGAAUCACAAACAGAAUAUGUCCCACAGAAGUAUAAAUAUGUAAAACCAAAAACUUAGAUUGUUAACAUCGAGCAUGAAUUAUCGGUCUAUUUCAUAUUCGGUCUACCCCAAGCCGAGAAGAUUGAUCUCAGUUACUGAGGACAAUGGUUGGAUUUUGGGGUGGAAGGGCCAGUUCUGAAGAGUAUUUAGAUGGUCAAUCAGCAAGGUUCUAACGGGCCAUGUGGCCAUCAAAAGUAGCUCACUAGCCCGAGAGCCCAAACCGCCCCAAUUUUUUUUCGAUUCGUGCCAGGCUUUAGCAAACGGUGAAGUUUGAUCAAAUCACAAGUCGUAUAGGAAGAGUAUCCUUCCGCGGGCCAACUUUGAAGAGGAAGUUAAUGCUCUAGUGGGGGAGUUUGUGAAACCAAAGUCAUGGGUAAAAUUCAUCAAAUGAUUUCUGAGAUUCAAUUGUAAUAGGAAUUACAACUAAGAGGAACGAUGUAAUAAACCGCAUGCAAAAGUGCAGUUAAUGGAUUGGUUAAGAGUUCUAAACAUUUAUAUGCGGAUGCGAUGAAGGACUUUUGAAAACCGACAAGGUAAUUUGCACUGGUGUAAUCUAACACGGAAGCUAAACGGAUCUUUCUAUUAAAUCAAUAUCAAAUUACUAUAGAUAUAAAUGAGGAAUCAUAAAGAACACCAAAAAUUUAUUUGGUUCGAUAACGGUAUCUACUUCAUGGGGAGAGCCAGCAAUAAUUAAUCCGUCCUAAUCAAAUUAGAAAACUUGUUGAAACUAGAGACAUAUUCUUAACAUGCACAACUAUUUGAGAGAGAGAGAGAGAGAGAGAGAGAGAGAGAGAGAGAGAGAGAGAGAGAGAGAGAGAGAGAGAGAGAGAGAGAGAGGUUGAUCUAUAUAUUGAGUUUUCAUGGUUAUGAAACCUCAAUCUAAUUUUAAAAAUGAAAGUGUAAGAGUUGUCAUUAAUUACCCGUAAUCUUUUAAGUUCCAUCCCUUGAUUCCAGCGACCUCUUUGAGGGCCUCCUCCCACUGCUUCGAUGCAUCUUCACCGGAAUCUCUCUCAUGCUUUUGUAGGGCCUUACCAUACAAUCCAGUUUUGAGUUUAACAUCGGAUGCAUCCACCUCGUAGAAGAUGGGCAAGACCGCUUUCUCCUCUCUCUUCCUACACUCCAUCAUGUACGCAAGCUCACGGAGGCACCAUUUACUGGAAGCAUAGUCUUUAGAGAAGAUCGGUACGUAGAUUUUCGAAUUGGAGAUUGCUCCCAAAAGCUCACCUCCGAUCUCUUCCCCAACACGGAGCUCUUCGUCGUCUUUGAAGACACGUAUCCCGGCCCGGAUCAUGGCUGCAUAGAGAGAGUCUGUUAUGGUUAAACGAGUGUCGGGCCCUCUGAAGCUCAAGAACACCUCGUAGUCCCUCGACAACGAUGAGGAUUCACCAUUAAUGGGGAGAGACUUUCUUCCAAGACAUUCCAUUCCUGCAGAUCUUUGGCUACGGAAGCGAUCUCGAGCUUUUUGCUUGUUCAAAAUGGCAACUUUCCAGUUACCUCGCGUUGUUGGCAAUUUCUAAGAGAAACCGUGGACUGACUUAAUUUGUCCUAAAAGAACUGUUCACUGGGUCGGGCUCCUUGGGAUAGACAGGAGAUGGAAAGAAANNNNNNNNNNNNNNNNNNNNNNNNNNNNNNNNNNNNNNNNNNNNNNNNNNNNNNNNNNNNNNNNNNNNNNNNNNNNNNNNNNNNNNNNNNNNNNNNNNNNNNNNNNNNNNNNNNNNNNNNNNUGGAAGUCUUCGUCUCGAUGCAUAGAAAUGAGCUAUCUUGUGGAGAAUCAAAGCAUAGAGGCAUUAUCUAUAAGCUAGUGAUGGAGCCCAGUAGGAAUUGAAAUAAAAAGCUGAACAAACCCUUGAGUGCAAGAAAUAAUGCCCUUUCACUUUUUCUAAAGCCACUUUACUUUUUCACAUUAUUAGGUUGUCGUGCCAUGGAAUAAAGCGCGUUGGACAAACAAGGAGUCGAGAAAAUAGGAAAAAGAGACAGACUCCCUGAGUCCUCGUCUUCUCUUUAUUUAUCAAGGAAACUUCUGAAAAAUAUGAAAUGAACCCAAGUGAUGUAGGUUUUGUAUGAAGUGAGCAUGAAACGCGGAGACAGACAGUAGAUUCACUAUUGUUUAAUCUAAUAAACAAAAGCUCUAGAGAAGAUUGAGCCAAUUGGAACAAUACCUGUCAUAUGUUUAACAAAAUUAAAAAUCAGCAAAUGCAUUCCUAGUCUUUGCUCAAGUCCACGAUGUUGGUAAGAUGAGAUGGUGAUGGGAGUCUUUUAAAGUUAAGUGAAGAACUAACAUAAAAAGACCAAGACUUCUUUUUAGCCUACUAAAGUUUUUUACGCUCAAUCUUUUUUUGCAGCUUAGUUAGUCAUAUCAUCAUCGUGAUGACCUACUCUCAUCUAUAUUUAACCCUACCCGAAAUGCUUUAAAAACGACUCUCAUUAUUGUUGAAAAAGAGAUGAAAAACUCUUUGAGCAGAUGGUCUUGCGGCCAAAAUAAUUGGAAAACACUGGUAGUUGCAAAAGUUGUUUAGUUGGAUCCACAUAUCCCAUGGCAUUAGUUCAAAUUCCUGCUACAUAUCAAAUUUUCACAUGAAUGAUUAUGUUGUCUCUGGAUAUCAUGUAAAAGAGUGGCGAUUCAUUACAAUGACCUGUUUUGAAUGCGCAUGUCGAAUCCAGAGCGUGUUCAACGCUUUAGACCAAGUGAAAGACCUCAUAAGGGCUUGUGGAACAACUUUAUAAAAGAAUUACAGAAUAAGAAUGGCCUAGAAACCAAAUUAAUUGAGGUACUUAUAAGAUUGGUAUACCAUGCUGGACAUUAAUCUUGUCUUCAUUAAUUAUAUAAAACGUAAAUAGUUAUUCAGUGAUCUGCCUAGGUGAAUCGGCAAUUGUAAACCUCACCUUCAUAAUGAUAACCAAAGCUAAUAUUCUCAAAAUAGACCUUUUUAUAACAUGAGAAACCCAAGUUGAAUUGCUUUUUCUCAAUAAUUAUCCUUGUAAAGAAUCAAAACGCACGAACUCUGUUACAUUUCGGGAAUCCAUCCGUUUAAGUGAGGUUCUCUUGAUUUCUUAUGCAAGGCCGGCUUCGCAGAUAUAGAAGAGUAAUCCUGUUUCAUGCUCAUGCGGGUAUCAUAGCAGUCAGUAUAAAGCAUGAUCCCACAUGACAUAAACAGUUACUGAAAUGAAAUGACAAAGAAAUGAAAUGAAAAGGCGAUUCCUCUCUCCUCUCUUCUCAGAAUAAAAUGAAAAAGAAGAGAGGAGAGAGGAAGCACAUAUAGAAGCCCUCCGUGUUAGAAUGUGUCUCUGUGUUCACUGUUCGAACUCCUAGCACUCUCCAAUCUGCUACAUUUACUUGAAAGCCAUUGGCAGGGUGGAGAGAAAUGGAUGUUGAUUACUAAGAAACAGAAAACCAUAAGCUAUAAACAGGUGCUCUUCAUCAACUUCAUUUACUGCCACUUGUGCUUCUCCUGCUUGCUGAUAAGUUUUCCCUUUGCAAAUAGCUUCCAUGUGACCCAACUUGUGGCAUCUUCUGCACCUAGCAUUUGGCUUUCUCCAGCAAAUUUCUCCCUUACAAACUUCUCUGAACCAAUUCCAAUUACUCGUCAACCACGACAAAGAGGGACGUAAUUCAUUCUAAUGCAACAUAGCAGAAAAGCAUCACCUGAUUAAAUCCAUCACAAGGCAUAGUUUCCCAUUGGUCGAAUUUCUUCUGGUUUGCUGUCUUCCGGUACAUCAGAAUACUGCAGUUUACGCUCCCCUGUCCAACCACCCUGAUGCGCACAAGCAGAAACGUCAAAAGGAUUUUUUCAGCUAAAUUCAAACACUUAAAGGAGUUCAUUUAUCUUCAUCAAUUUUGAGGGAUUUAACGAGAGAAUAACAGAGGUUAUACACUGAAUCGCUAUGCUGUCAGACAUUCAUCAGCAUGACAAAGGAUGUUUGAAGGAGGGGGAAAUCAGGUUGAAAGCUUUUGAAACAACAAAGUUUUUUUAGUUGACUGAAUGGAUUUUGAUGAAGAAAUUCAACGCUCCACUAAAAUUUAUCAAGCCAGAUUAUUAAUACUCAUGUUGCAGUUGAUAAGACAUUUGAUUGAGGAGCAGUCCAGUCAAUUUUAACCAUCACGUGAAGACAGAAGGUAAGAUCGAAGUCAAAAAAUGCUUGAACUUCAUGUAUGAAUACUUGGAUCAUGUAUGAUGGCAUGAAAGCUACUCAAAUCCAUUUAUCUAAUUUUUCAUAAUGUGCCCUUCGACCUAAGAUUCAAUUUAAAGUGUCAGAAAAGGUAAAGGCUUAGCCAAGGGGUCCAUUGUAGCUUUAAACUUAUGCUUAUCUCAAAAGGAAGACUUAACAAGCUACAUUAAACGCAGUAACCAGCCAGAGCAUGUUAAAUGUAGGAUUAGCUUCUAUUUAUUUCCCCAGGCUAUGCAUUAUUGUAUUGAAGUCGCAGCAAUAAAAACCUACAUAUCCUACUUUCCAUUUGCAAAACGAAAAAUAACAGAGGAGUUUCCUAGGCCAAAGGAAAGUCCUUAUACUGCACUUUGAGCAUCGGUCGUUCCUUCUCACGGUCGCAGGGUGUAGAAAGAACUCCUCUGACCCCUGAACCUUCACUUUGAUUGCCUUGAUGACUUUAUCAUAAUGACAGCUGUUGAUAGUGGAAAGGAAGAUGAAACUUUAAAUCAUUUGAAUAUGAAAACCAAGAAUUGAAAAGAUAUGCAGUUUCUGAAAAUUAUUCCUUUAGUUUGAUCGUGGGAGGGAAGAUAAGCCUAAAAUUUCAGUGGCCAACCAGGAAAGUUCUGAUCUCACGAAUCUAAUUAAACACUCACUCUGGAGUCUCGAAACACAGAGUAUAUGCAGGAUUUACCGCUACAGUUGAUUUUGCCACUUGUCCCAGAACAGUGCUAACAGACAGUAGUCAUGAUAGAAGAAAUUAAAGAAUGGUACUUUCUAAUGAGAUAUUUCUUCUCCGAUAAAGAUCCCACAUCUAACUGCUCCAGCAACCAAAUGACAUGUAAAAAGAUGAUUUGGAAAUACCCAAAGAAAAAUCUUUUCCCUUAUGAAAUUCACUACUCAGGGAAAUUACCACAAUGGAAUGAAACUGCAGGCCAUCCGUAUGUCAUAGUCAGCCUUCUCAAAGCAACCCAAAAAUUUUGUAGUCAAAUGUCACGCACUGAAAUACCUGCAUAGUCACAACCUGGAAAAUGAAGUGCAACAGAAGGUUAUGUAGCCCUACCUUGCGACUUGAAACUGCUAUAAUGUUCAAGAUCAUCUGUAACCCUGGAGUAAGUUGACCUGUGAAAAUAGGUAUUGCUGGUUCUGCUAACAUGGUUACUUUAACAUUCUUGACCCAAGGAAGAUUAGCCACCACCUCAUUCACCCGCUGCUCAAACUGUCAAGCAACAAUAUCGCUGUCGAACUAUUUAAGGUUCAGAAAGCUGAUAUAUCGGGCAAAGACUCUUAUGAAACCAUAAUGAAGCAGAAAAUUUUUGCCUACAUUGGCUCCAUGGGUAUUUGGAAAUUGUACAUUCACAGAGAGAUUUAUGGAAGGAUGUCAAAACGAGGUGACAAUGGUAAAGUAAUUAAUGCAUGACACAGAACAUGUGGUGCACUGAGCAUGUAUUUGGUGAUUGAUCAAGCAACAAAGGUAAUUUACCAUGUCCUUGAUUGGACAUGCAUGUGCAGUGAGCUCUAACCAGAACAAAACUUGAGAAUCAAUGCCAAGACAUUGUAUGGUAAGGGUUUCAUUCCUUACAGAUAUAUAAAGACUAAGAUCCCAUAUUGAUUCUUUAAUAGCCUCUCCAAGAGCUUCAUCUGUCAUGAGGUCCAUAACAAAACCACAUGAAAAGGUCGGAUCAAUAAUUUGAGACAAGGCUUUAAGCAAAUCAACUCCAGCUGUCUGAGCCGAAACUGCAGAAGUACUCUACAACUACAAGAGCAGAUUCGCAGAAUGAUGUCAAGCUUAUAAGAUGAACAACUAUAAUUAUAAAAAGAGAAAAAAAUCAGAGGAGAAAAACGGUGAAAACUUACCAACAACUAACCAUUAAUUGGCGGCACACCCAGGACAGGCAAUCAUAUUUGGCUCUUCAUCGAUUAAGAUUUUUAGCACUAAUAUCCUUCUGUCUCUCACUCACGGCCAUUCAAAUUCUGUCUUGACAAGGGGUAGCCAAGAGUUGUUCAUUUGGGUGGGCUUCUCAAUAGUACAACGCAAGUGCGCAAAAGCAUGUGCGCACACACACGAUCGCUCUAACUUUUUCUGUUCAUGUAUUAGUUUCUUGGCAAUUCCAAAUAGUUUGACAGAGCAAGUCCCUUUUAUUUGGCCUACCAAAUAAACCUCCAAAAUUAUCUUCAUGGCAGAAAUGUUGGUCAUCUUCGCAGGGAGGCAGAUAUCUAUUAGUUGAAGCAGAGUGAUAUGAUGGCACGAGCCAACGAUUUUACCAUAAAACCUGACCCAUUUUUAGGAACUCACAACUCAAUAAGUAGCAGAUUAUUAUCUCCAAACAACAAUAAGUAGAGAAAUACUAAGGAUCGAACACGGACAGCUUUGCAAAAAAAGAAAAAAGAAAACUUAAUGUGAUUCAUUUAAUUGAAAAAAAUUCAAGAUAUUUGGCUUAAUAGAAAUCUCUUGACCGUACCAAUUGCACUCACUCCACAGAUCACUCUGUCAAAUUCUCGACAUUUCAUUGUAUGUUCUUGAAAAUAUUUAUGAGUUACUGGGUUCUCAUAUCUCAGAUAGAUAAGUAUCCAAACAUAAAAUAAAAGAGUGCCAUACGGGGUUUAUCCCAAAUAAAACAGGCACCUAAUAAUCAAUUGAUUGGAAUUAUUCUAUUUGCUAAUCCUCUCACAUUGCUUAUACUCUAGAUAGAGUAACGAGAUGAAUGGUGGAUUGAAUAGGGGGCACUAAUUCACCAACUUCCAUGGCCGACGGUGUGUGAUUGCGAGAGAAUGUCCACAGUUGGUGCACUUGGGAGUUCGACCAGACCGUCAAAGCGGCAUCGUUGAGGAAAUUUUGUGGAACUUGACAACUGAGGCAACUUUCAAGUGUGAGUAGACAUUUGAUGCCACAAAUGGGUAGACAGUCACUCGCACACCUUGCAAGCAUGUCGAUCUCCCACAAAGAUUUGCAUCGUCCAGUUUUGCGAUGCCUUAGAAUCACAACAUUCAUAUAGCAGUCGUUCCAUAGGAAAGAGCAGUUCCAAGGACUUACAAUCUAAAAAUUGCCGAAGCACAGAUUCUUUCACUAACUGCUUGGGAAAUAUAUCGGAUGGAUUAGAUAUAAGGAGAGUGAGCGAAAUACUGCUCUCCAGAGAUGUUUCAUCAUGCCCUGAACGAAAUCACGUGUAAGACCACUGUAGAUAUCAAAGAGGUCGAGCAAGGAUGAGUUGCAAAAAAAAAUAUUCAGGGCCAUACCUCCGAAUGAUCCUUUCACUGAAUGUGGCCGUUGGAUGUCGACCUGAUGUCGCUAAAGCUUUCCUGAACAAAAUUUACAGUUUCCCCAACAGUAUCAUUUAGACAUGCCAAGAAGUGACCUCUCCUGAUGAUCAGGUCACUGAAUUUGACUCCAGGUAACCCGGUCAUUCUUAGAGUGAGAAAGUAUUUCGCUCCAGAUAUUGCAGUAAAACUAAUACACUGCAUGACACAGGAGCUACCAUUUUUCGCCAGAAAACUUCGCAGCCAUAAGAACCAUCUUGAUGGCAAGCAAACACAUCAUUGAAGUUUCCAACACUUGAAAAGAAUAUCGGAACAGGAGGGCCUUGCUAAUUACAAAAGUUUGCCAAACUCGACCUCCUUACACCUUUACUCUGUAUCAAGUAUCGUGACACACUAAGAUGUUUCUGACUUUUUACAUAGGGUCAACCCUUCUGUACACUCAUGCCAGUUUGUGCCCACAAGCAUUUGCAUUUUAUGGAUUGAAUCUUGUUGCUUUUAUAUCUGAAACAGAUUAAGUCUGUUUUCCUCGCUAUAUCCCCACCCGACAGAGUUUCAAAGGAACUAUCAGCUGUCGGAAACUGAGUAGCUUUGUGCAUAAGAUUUUUGAAUAAAAUCGCGAACAAUCUGCCGUAUACAUUAAAAGGCGAAAAUGCAAAUAGAUGAAUUGCAUGAAGAGAUAAUGAAGAAAAAGCAAGCAAGAGUCCUAGCAGCGCAAUGUCGCUUUCCUAAAAUAGAGCCGUCGACGAAUCAUCAGAAGCAGCCAAUACUCGUUGAGCAGAGUUAAUUGUGCAAGAAUCGUAGUUCAGAUUUCUCAACAACCAAAUAAUAGCAGUUUAAACUUUAACAACCAGGAGAUUGAUGGAAGCAACCAAUCCCUCAGUUGUUCCAAAAUUAAUGCUAAGCAUUGGUGUGAAAGGGCAUCGGAAGAGAAUCUAUGCGACCACAUGUAGCAAUAGUUCUCUAUCCUUUUAGAAUGAAUAUGUACGCAGUAAGAUUGAAUAUCAGGCAUUCCUGACAAGAAGACAGAACUUUCCAAGAGGAUAAAAGUCGGGGGUCUAAAGAGGUGGCAAGCAAAACAAAAUUCACAGAGAGCACAUUGAACGUCUAGAUCUGUCAAUGCCUAUAUUUGACUAAAGCACAAUAAACCUAAAACAAAAUGGUUAUUCAACUAAAGGGAGCAUUUAGACAUAUAGGAGUAUGAUGCGGGUGUUGCUUCUGGAAAUGAAUUGUCUGGAAUUACACGCCAUGCUCCUCCGGUGGUUGUAGAUUUCCAGUGAGGAAAAAAUAAAGAUCCCUCUGAAGUUCAUUUUUCAUAUCCUCCUUUGAUCAUUAGCAAAUCUACUUCAAUAGCUAAGCGAAUCUUACUCAGAACACAACACUUUUUGCUUUCUGCAGGGCUGGGAAUUUCAGAGUUACGCCCCCACAUAAUAAGAACGUCUUUGAAAUUUUCAUUCAUUUUUGUGUUUUGCGCGUGUUCAAAGUACACAAACAGAGAACCGAAUGUAAAGUAUAGAGCAUAUAGGCGAAGAAGCCUCGAAGUCGGUGAUUUCAUCUCAAUUGACCGUAGCUCACCGGUGUCUCAAAUCCCAGCGUUUUACUUGUUCACGGCUACCAUGUCCAGCUGCUGCCGUCUCGACCUCCAGUGCAGCAUCACAACCUCUGGCGACCCCUCGACGACAGCUGACAGUCAUUGGAAUAGUCUCUAGUGUGCUUGGCCGAGACAAAUGGCUGAUCGCUCUUUUGUGUAUUAAUCUUCUCAGCUCGAUCAUGUGAGUUCGGCAGGCAGGGCUUCUGGAGGCCCUCCUCGAGCACUUCUGACCACAACACCACGCAAGUAAUCACUAAUCCAUAACUGUACUAACUUGGAGAACCAAUUUGAACGCAAGACCAGAAUUAACACAAGUAAAUAUGCCAAAGAAAUAAUUUUGACCACUCAGCAGCUUCAGGGAGGGGCUCUAUACUUGCAGGAACGGCGUUUCCACUCAAAUCUGGUCUUCACAUCGUGAUCGAGCGCAAAUUCCAGUCAUCUCGGAGUACGGCCGGAACUUCCCACCGGCUUCCUAAAUCGCAACCAGAACUCAAUCCCGAGUCUCGCCUCUUUCGAUUCAAUUCAUCACAGGGAUUCGAAUGAUGCGAAUCAAUCAUCGAACGAACUAGGGUUCUCGAUUUUGGGGGCUCACCGUUCCGUUGAUUUUAGCGCCGGCGUUGGGGCUUCAAGGCGUAGUCGUUCUGGUACGGGCCACGCCGAUUGCUCAUCUUCAAUAUGUCAUCGACUCUUCUUCUUCCUCUUCUUCAGUGAACUCUUUUUGGGAAAUCUGGGGUGACACUUGCAUGCCGGUCGGCCAUCGAAGAAUUGGACCGUCGGCGUGCUGGCAGUAUAAUUGAGACAAAGUCGGCAACUUCACAGAGCCCUUCGAGAAAAUCAUCUCUGGGGAUAAAAUUCAACUUCACAUGCAUUUGGUAUAUCAGGCAACUUUUGCACUGAUUCACAAUAGUAUACUCUCAACGACCGUAGCUUCUCCAGCUUCGGUGAAGAUGGUUCUGAUUCCAUCUCAAGUAGUUGCGGGCAGUACUCCACGCUCAGCACUCGGAGCUCCUUUAAGCUCGCUAGAUUGGAUAGCCUCACGAGCCACUCGCACUUGCGCACUUGCAGCCGCCGGAGAUUCUCUAGCUGUCCAAGCAAGUUGUCGAACUCGAUCUCUCUUAACUGACAACCGAAGAGCUUUAAUUCACACAAAUUGCCCAAGUUAGAGAACAAAGGCCACUCUAUUGGUGUUUUGACAUCUUCUAAACACAACUCUUCCAAACAGGACGGAAGCCCAGUCAGCGACCGUGGGUCUCGACAAGUUAUUUCCAGUGACCGCAGCUGAGAAAAGGAGCUCAAAUCUGUCGGAGGCAAGUUGAAAUCGGAAAGAACCAGUCUCAACGUCUGCAAUUCAUGAAGCCUUCCAAGCCACUCUAGUUUCGGAUACUGCCUGCAAUAGAAAGAGUAUGCAAGAGAAAGAAGAGGAAAAGAAGAGCGGAGUCCGACUGAAAGAAACAAAAAAAAUAAAGAGGGGAGAGAGAGUCUGCAUGGGAGGUCAGGUACUGCCUGCAACGGCAAAGACGAUAGCUCUAGCUUUGUUAAACUUGUCGGGAGAUCUGGUAGCGACUGAAGCCCGCUACAAUUCGUUAAAACAAGUUCUCGGAGAUCAGAAAGCCCAUUGAUUGUCGUUGGCACUCCACUAACCUUGCUAUGGGACAAGUUCAGAACAAUCAAUUGGGAUAGUCCUGCGAUUUCACUUGGAAUUUCACCCUCGAGAUAAUAACAGCCUCUAGCAGUCAACUCCUCAAGAUUCUCCAGGGUCCAUAUGCUCUUUGGUAGCUCUCUUAUCUUCGUUCGAUCCAAACACAUGAACUUCAACUGUCUAAGGUUGCCAAUAGAAGUAGGUAAUUCUGCAAUAUUUGUAUGAGAUAGAUCUAUUUUGAUUAGUGAUUCUAGUCUUCCAAUGGAAUCUGGUAGUGCACUUAUAUUGGUGCUAGACAAAUUCAAAUAGAGGAGCGAUUUCAACUCUCCAAUGGAAUCCGGAAGCUUUCCAAGGUUGGAACAACCACGUAGAGACAUAUGCUUUAAACCCAAUAACUCUCCUAUUGAGUGCGGAAGUGCUUUAACCUCAUUAAGACAUUCCACUGUCAGCAUCGACAAGGAUUUCAGACAACCAAUUGAGUCUGGUAAGAGAGGAGGAGGAACGGUAAUUGAAAGAUCACACUUAGAGUGCAUUGUGUGAUGGGACUCCUCCUCACUGAUUUCCCAAGUACUUCAAGCACCCCAGCUGACCAAUAGAGUUGUUGAUUUCAUUCAAUAAUAUACAACCUUUGAUAACCAAUCUUUUCAAAUUCAUGCAUUUGGAGAAGUCAGGUGUCCUCUUUAAGUGGUUGCAGCUUGUCAGAUAUAUCACUUUUAGGUUAUCAUUCACCUGUGAAACAAACAGUUAUUGAGGAAAACGAUGGCAUAGGUGAAGGUCUACUCAAUGUGACAAAUGUGUACACACAAAGGAAAAAGAAUGUGUUAUACGGAAUUAUACCAUGCAUGGUCCCCAUCCAUUCCAAUCUUCAGUAACGUCGCUCUCUGAAAGCUUGAGAAUGGCCAAGUUCUUUAGACAUAAACCGUUGGCAUGUAGGUUUGAAGGGCAAUGAUGCCAAGAGAGCCAUCUUAGAUUUGAGAGAAGAUUUUUAAAGUCUCCUACAAAAUUCCCCCCCUCUAAUUCGAGGAACCUUAAACUAGGCAGCCUUGAAAAUUCGUCACUUGUAAAAUU